GACGAACGCUGGCGGCGUGCUUAACACAUGCAAGUCGAACGAAGUGGCGAACGGGUGAGUAACGCGUAAUCAACCUGCCCUUCAGAGGGGGACAACAGUUGGAAACGACUGCUCAUACCGCAUACUGAAGGAGGGGAUUGCGUCUGAUUAGCUAGUUGGAGGGGUAACGGCCCACCAAGGCGAUGAUCAGUAGCCGGUCUGGGAGGAGGAACGGCCACAAUGGGAAUGGGAAACGGGCCAGGCUCCUACGGGAAGCAGCAGUGGGGGAUCUUCCGACAUGGACGGAAGGCUGACGGAGCAAAGCCGCGUGGGUGAUGACAGCCUUCGGGUUGUAAAGCUCUGUUAAUCGGGACGCGGUACCGGAAUAGAAAGCCACGGCUAACUACGUGCCAGCAGCCGCGGUAAUUC
rnacentral:rRNA from 1 species